AUACGUAGGUGACAAGCGUUAUCCGGAUUUACUGGGCGUAAAGGGCGUGUAGGCGGUCUUGCAAGUCAGAAGUGAAAUUCCUGAGCUCAACUCGGGCGCUGCUUCUGAAACUGCAGGACUUGAGUGCUGGAGGGGAUAGCGGAAUUCCUAGUGGAGCGGUAAAAUGCGCAGAUAUUAGGAAGAACACCGGUGGCGAAGGCGGCUAUCUGGACAGUAACUGCGGAUGCGGCGCAAAAGCGUGGGGAGCAAACAGGAUUAGUUACCCUGGGAGUCCACGCUGUAAACGAUGAAUACUAGGUGUAGGGGGUAUCGACUCCCUCUGUGCCGCAGUUAACACAAUAAGUAUUCCGCCUGGGGAGUACGGCCGCAAGGUUGAAGCUCAAAGGAAUUGACGGGG
rnacentral:rRNA from 1 species